GACUUUUCCGGUGACAAAGUGGUUAGAGCGUCAGCCUCGGAUGCGGAAGGUCGUGGGUUCGAUCCCCGGCCAAAUCA